rnacentral:lncRNA from 1 species
AAUGGCAGGAGACACCAUGAGAUGUUUUCUGCUGUAGAAACUUUCUCAUUAGAAAUAGCCCAUUUAUACAGGGGACUGGCUAAUGUUUUUCUAUGAGUAUCAUUAGCUAGUGUCUCAAAGUGGUGAAGAGUAAUUAUAUAGCAUCUCUCAAAAGUCACUUAUCGGCGUCUCCUCCAGUCCCAGAAGGAGGAGUUGAGGCUGACAUUGGACAAACAAAGUCUUAAUUUAAAAGCAGGGACUGCAACUUGGAACAAGGAGAGACAAAGGGAAGGAGGAGUCUGGAGCCAUAUUGAAGAUGAAAUUGAGAUAUGGACUAGGUGGUGGAUCGUUUUUAUAAGAGGACAUAAAAGAGGAUGCUAAAGCUAAUUGCCACAAUCAGAACUCAAAGACCUAGCAAAUGCAAGGUGGUAUUUAUUCUAAACUCAGCAAAAUAGUAGAAAAAUAGUUUUGAGAACAGUUUUAAGGAGACUAGGGUAACAGUGAGAAAAUAGUUCAUGGCUAGUCUGGACUUAGGACUUUAGGGUUGGCCUGGUGAAUUGAAGGGAAGCAGCUGAUACA